rnacentral:tRNA from 1 species
GCCGAGGUAGCUCAGUGGUAGAGCACGAGCUUGAAGCGUUCGGUGUCGUAGGUUCGAUUCCUACUCUCGGCACCA